rnacentral:rRNA from 1 species
CCUACGGGAGGCAGCAGUGGGGAAUAUUGCACAAUGGGGGAAACCCUGAUGCAGCGACGCCGCGUGAGUGAAGAAGUAUUUCGGUAUGUAAAGCUCUAUCAGCAGGGAAGAAAAUGACGGUACCUGACUAAGAAGCCCCGGCUAACUACGUGCCAGCAGCCGCGGUAAUACGUAGGGGGCAGGCGUUAUCCGGAUUUACUGGGUGUAAAGGGAGCGUAGACGGCAGAGCAAGUCUGAAGUGAAAGCCCGGGGCCCAACUGCGGGACUGCUUUGGAAACUGCCCGGCUAGAGUGCUGGAGAGGUAAGCGGAAUUCCUAGUGUAGCGGUGAAAUGCGUAGAUAUUAGGAGGAACACCAGUGGCGAAGGCGGCUUACUGGACAGUAACUGACGUUGAGGCUCGAAAGCGUGGGGAGCAAACAGGAUUAGAUACCCCAGUAGUC